rnacentral:ribozyme from 1 species
GCUGCUCGGAUGUGCUACCUCUUCGGGAUGAACAGCAGGCAACGAGAGACUUUCUCAGCUAAAAGUAUAG